UUUUCAUAGCGGAAGUGCAACAAAUAAAACUAGUCGAUAGGAAACACUGAGAAGAAAGUUAAAAACAAACUACACUGAAACUGUAUAAUCUUUUAUGACCUACAGUAACUUUUAGGAAGUUGAAUAAAGCAAAAUGUAAUUUUAUUUUGUUUAUAUACUUUAUUUUUAUUGAGUGGAACUUUGUGUGACGAGCCUCAUUAUCCCACCGGAUAUAUAUUUUGCGCGUUCCACAUCUAGAGAAGACAACUCGCUCUUUAGCUUUUCAUGGAGGUGGAACAGAAUCUAAGCACUGGAGGUGAGAGGGGGAUUGUUCUUCAGGAUGAGGAGGUGAAAAAGGAGGAACCAACUGCUGAAUCAGAGGAGGAAGAUGAAGAUGCUCUCCCGCAUUCAGAGAUCCUGGAUAUCUUCGAGGAGGGACUGGCUCGACUUGUGCAGGACCCUUUACUCUGUGAUUUGCCAAUACAGGUGACCCUGGAAGAGGUGAAUUCCCAGAUUGCCUUGGAAUAUGGCCAGGCGAUGACUGUGAAGGUUUUAAAAGCAGAUGGUGAAAUAAUGCCCAUUGUGGUUGUCCAGAAUGCUACAGUCCUCGAUCUUAAGAAGGCCAUUUGCAGAUUUAUGGAGUUGAAACAGCAGCGAGAAGGCGGCGUGAAACAUGUUAGCUGGAGAUAUGUUUGGAGAACCUACCAUCUUGUAUUUCAAGGCGAGAAACUUGAAGAUGACACAAUGAGGCUCAAAGAUUAUGGGAUCAGGAACAGAGAUGAAGUGACAUUUAUGAAGAGACUCAGGAAGAAGUGAUGCAGCAUGUUUGGAGAAUAAACACAAUUUCCUGCAGUGUCCCAGUUUCUUCUUUAAAAUAAUUAAAAUCUUGUUUUAAUCUUUUUUUUGUAUAAAUGUUUCUUUGUCUUGUAUCUGUUAGUUUUAAAAUGUGCCUCUGUUGUAACGUACAUGUGAUUACAAUGAAUAAGAUUUUUGUAGACGUGCUUUGUGAAAAUGAAAAUGUUUCAGUAUUUUUACUUUGUCUGUGCCUACAUAAAUGUGUCCCGUGCUUCCAUCUGAGCCAGACUGCAGCAGUUUGCAAAAAUGGGAGUAAUAAACACCGCCCAAAUGAUUUGAAUAUUUCCUGACAGAUGGGAACAAUAUCCUCUUGUUCAGCUUAUAUGGAUUUUACCUGUGAAUGACAUAGCAGAAGCAGCAAAAGCAAGCUGCCGCCAUGACCUCUUCACAAAAUGAGGUGGAGACAAUAUCAGAAAAACUGAAAGACAUUUCACUGAAAGAGGGACAGCUUGAAGACAGAAAGAAAAUCUUGAUGGUAUUCCAGGAGCUAAGGAAUCGGGCUGAAUUUGGAGAAACAGAAGAGUCAGCUGCUACCCAACAAGAGAUCAAUUCUAUUGACAAUAAAUUGAAAGAACUCAGGAUAAAGAAGGCUGAACUGCAAAAGAACUGUAACAAUAUCGUUGAUGCAAAAAAUGAGAAAAUCAAGAACGAUAUUAAGCACGAGUCCAACCAGCAGCUUGACGCUAGUGCUUCUAAAGUCUUCUUUGUCGAACCUCCUCCUUCUUUUCCCGCCCCUGCCGUGAUUCUGGAUAUUGGAAAACUUCCUACACAACCAACGAGGACACAGUGCCCAGAGUGCAUGGAGUUUGUCACCACGGAGACUUUCACUUCUGUCAGCAGCGUCACCUGGCUUGUUUGCUUUAUGUCAGCUAUGAUAGGCUGCGUGGCUGGCUGCUGCCUCCUUCCUUUCUGCAUGGACAGGUUCAAGACCACCACGCACAGAUGUCCAAAGUGUCGGUCGAAAAUCACAAUCAUCAAAAAGCUCUGAGAGGAGAAGCUGAAGCUGAGAAAAAGCGCUGGACCAGCAACUGCUGGUGUUUUAGUAACUGCUGAGAGGAUCUGCUGAAGAGUUUGUUUAGCAACAUCAUCCUCUAUUAUGCUGAAAAUCCACGCCUAAGGAUUUAUGCUUGUGAACUUAAAAAUUAAAUCUUGGCUGAAUGGAUUUAAUGAAGCACAUCUCAAUAGGUAUAGCUGUGACUUGCAUGUAAAUAUGUAUUAUAAUAGAUCUAUAAAAUGUAUGAAAUCUACCUUUUCAAUUUUAAACUACCUGUGAAAUUCUACUAAUCCUAAAGUAGUUCUUUAGGAGGAUUGUGAUGCUGUGAGCCUUUUAUCACCUCUUCAAAAGGAUCGAAUCUUGUCUUUGAAAGAUCAAAAUAUUUUAAAUAGAAAUCUGGUGGACUCUGGCAGGAAACUGAAAAUGCACCAAAAAAUGAAAGAACCUAGGACUCUGAAUGACAAGAGAGAUUUUGCAGCGGAAAAUGAUCUGGAGUCUUUUUUUUUCUGUAUUCCCUAACCUUGUGAAACGCUAUAGGAGAAGAUGCAAUGGUGGGUUGUACAAAGUCCUGACAGCAGUACAAAACAAGUGGGGAUAUGGGAAUGUUUCAUUCGCUGAACAAAUGUGCUCAAAUUAAAGUACCGGUAGUUUUUUUUUCUAGAAUUAAAAACUAUAAAUUCUCAUGUAAAAAGAAAUGAAAAUAUUUUAAAGCUUUUCAUACAUCUUUGCCAGGUGCGACAUUAAAUGUGUCUGGCAAUGAAUAUGCAUGUAGGGAGCUGUUCAAUAAAGAAGCAUAAGAAC